UUGUCUACGGGGGGCAGCAGUGGGGAAUAUUGCACAAUGGGCGCAAGCCUGAUGCAGCGACGCCGCGUGAGCGAAGAAGUAUUGCGGUAUGUAAAGCUCUAUCAGCAGGGAAGAAAAUGACGGUACCUGACUAAGAAGCUCCGGCUAACUACGUGCCAGCAGCCGCGGUAAUACGUAGGGAGCAAGCGUUAUCCGGAUUUAUUGGGUGUAAAGGGUGCGUAGACGGGAAAUUAAGUUAGUUGUGAAAUCCCUCGGCUCAACUGAGGAACUGCAACUAAAACUGAUUUUCUUGAGUGCAGGAGAGG
rnacentral:rRNA from 1 species